rnacentral:rRNA from 1 species
UACGAAGGGGGCUAGCGUUGCUCGGAAUCACUGGGCGUAAAGGGUGCGUAGGCGGGUCUUUAAGUCAGGGGUGAAAUCCUGGAGCUCAACUCCAGAACUGCCUUUGAUACUGAGGAUCUUGAGUUCGGGAGAGGUGAGUGGAACUGCGAGUGUAGAGGUGAAAUUCGUAGAUAUUCGCAAGAACACCAGUGGCGAAGGCGGCUCACUGGCCCGAUACUGACGCUGAGGCACGAAAGCAUGGGGAGCGAACAGG